GACGAACGCUGGCGGCAUGCCUAAUACAUGCAAGUUGAACGAUGAUAUUCUCUGCUUGCCGAGAAUUGAAGAGUAGCGAACGGGUGAGUAACACGUGGGGAACCUGCCCAUGAGAGGGGGAUAACAUUCGGAAACGGAUGCUAAUACCGCAUAAUGCUUUGGACCGCCUGGUCCAGAGACGAAAGACGGCUUUUGCUGUCACUCAUGGAUGGCCCCGCGCCGUAUUAGCUAGUUGGUGAGGUAAUGGCUCACCAAAGCUGUGAUACGUAGCCGACCUGAGAGGGUGAUCGGCCACACUGGGGCUGAGACACGGCCCAGACUCCUACGGGAGGCAGCAGUAGGGAAUCUUCCACAAUGGGCGAAAGCCUGAUGGAGCAAUGCCGCGUGAAUGAAGAAGGUCUUCGGAUCGUAAAGUUCUGUUAUUAGAGAAGAACAAGUCAAGGAGUAACUGUCUUGACUUUGACGGUACCUAACCAGAAAGUCACGGCUAACUACGUG
rnacentral:rRNA from 1 species